AUGUGGUACGUAUUGCUUUUUAGGAUGCCUUUCGGGUUGAGGAGUGCUGGCUCAACGUUCGCAAGAGCAGUCCAAAUUGGUUUUGAACCUCAGCUCCAUAGAAAUAUGGAGGCCUACAUGGAUGACAUAGUGGUCAAAACCAAGGACGGGCCAACUCUUGUGCAAGAUCUGGAAGAGACAUUUGCUAACCUGCACAAGAUCAACCUCAAGCUGAACCCUGAGAAGUGUGUCUUCGGCGUUCCGUCCGGCAAGCUUCUCGGGUUCUUUGUGUCACAGCGCGGGAUCGAGGCAAACCUGGACAAGAUCAAGGCUAUUGAGCAGAUUGAGGAGCCCAAGCGGAUCAAGGAUGUACGUCGGCUCACCGGCUGCGUUGCCGCCAUGAGCCGAUUCAUCUCCAAGUCCGCCGAGCGUGCCCUUCCCUUCUUCAAAAUCUUGAAGAAGGCAGGCCCAAUAGAGUGGACCCCAGAAGCCGAGGCAGCACUGCAUGAUCUGAAGAAAUACCUUUCCUCCACGCCAAUACUGGUUGUGCCAAGACCACAAGAGCCGUUGCUGCUGUAUCUGGCGGCGACGAAUCAAGAGGUCAGCGCCGCACUGGUGGCACAGAGAGAGGUCGACGAGGAGGCAGCAAUGGCGGCAGAAUCAGCGAAUGGCAAGCCAAAGACUCCCCCGACAAGGCCUGGUGCCGACAAGGCGCGGCCCCCGCCAGAGUCUGGUGCCACCAAGGCAGUGCCCGCGCAAUCGAGUGAGGUGGUGCCGAAGAAGAAGAUGAUGCAGCACCCGGUUUACUUCGUCAGCUCCCUCUUGCAGGGGGCUAGGUCGAGGUAUUCCGGCGUGCAAAAAUUGCUCUUCGGCCUCCUUAUGGCCUCGAGGAAGCUGUGUCACUACUUCCAAGCCCACGAGAUCACUGUCGUCACCCACCUCCCGUUGCAACGGAUACUGCAUAACCCAGACGCAACCGGAAGGAUUGUGGAAUGGGCCUUGGAGCUACCAAGUUUCGGUUUAAAGUUUGAAAGUACCUCAACAAUUCAUAGCAGAGUCUUGGCGGAGUUCAUCGCAGAAUGGACCUCGACGCCUGACGAAGAAAUCCAGGAGACCACUCUCCCCGGCAAGGAAGCAGACCGCGACUGGAUCAUGUACUUUGAUGGGGCUUUCUCGCCGCAAGGCGCCGGUGCCGGUGUGCUGCUCGUCGCACCCACCGGAGAACACCUCAAGUACGUGAUCCAGAUGCACUUCCCCAGGGAGAUGUCCACCAACAACACUGCUGAGUACGAGGGAUUGCUUGCCCGUCUCAGGAUCACGGCAGACCUCGCGGUUAAGAAGCUCAUCGUCAGGGGUGAUUCGUAG
rnacentral:rRNA from 1 species